UCUCUUUCCACACCAAGGUCUAUCCAAUCCUUUGCUGGCAGACUUGGGAGUAAAUAGGCAUGGUUCAGCUUUGGCUACUUACAUCCUAUGUUCUCUUCUUCAUCACAACAGGAGUAGAUACCUUGAUUUGCCGAAGCUGCAUGUCUGUAUGGCCAAUGGCUCCUUGCCUUCCUCCUGAAAACUUCUGCCUCACCCACAAUGGAGUGUGUGCCCACCUGCAAGCCUUCGGAAGUAUGCGUCUGGAGAAGCUUAUACUAAGCUGUUUGGAGAAAGAACAGGAUCUAUGUGGGAGUCGCUGGGAAGAUGCAAAGACCCAUUUUCGAUACAAACUGAGCUGCUGUUCCGAUAAAGAUUUAUGCAAUUGGAAGCCGUUUAUACGUCCAUGGUAGACCUCUCUUUCUAGAGUGGUAUAAUUAAUUCUCUUGCUUGUGAAAGAGGAUCCGAGGGUUUUUGUUACGUAUUUAUUGUACUCCAGGUUUUCCUGUACUCUCCUGUGCUUUCU